rnacentral:piRNA from 1 species
UACUUUAGGACUAAGCACAGAGGAGAUGGU